GUGGCAUUUCAAGUGAGACCUGGACGGUGCGAAGCAGCCAGCUCUGACAAUGCUGAGGUCAGAACAUUCUGGACAGAGAGCACAGCGAGUCCGAAGAGCCUGAGGCCAGAAAACCCAGAAAACAGUGUUGCUCAAGUCACUGGCGAGAGGGAGGUAGGCUGGAGCAUCUUGUCGGCUCAGGAAGGAGUUUGGAAGACGUGAGUGCGCUGGGUCCUAAGCAGGGGAGCGAAACCAUCAGAUGUACUGCUUUCAAAAGAUCGCUCUGGGGCUGAGGGUCAGGGGGGGAUGAGAGCUUCGAGACCCACCGACGGCUCUGGGCAACCAGGCAGUAGGUGGCAGUGGUUUGGGCCAGCGGGUGACCAGUGGCAAUGGAGAAAUCCAAAAAACCUUCUUUGGAGACAAAGCAGAUGGGACUUUCUGGUGGCUCUGAUUUGGAGAGUGAACAAUUUGGUGCCUAUAAGCCUGUUCUUGAGAGGGGCGUGGCUAUGGGUGAGGGGCGUCAAGGGUUCUGGUUUUCCAGGUGAAGCUGGGGCUAUUCACGAGCCUGCUGUGAGUCUUCAUGGAAGGAAGACAAGGAAGCAGCUUGUAGAAGAAACAGAGACCUCCAGAGGCCUGGCAGCAGAGCCACCGGACACCUGGCUUCCCUGUGGAGAGCACGAUCGGUCAGGUGUGCGGCUCUGGCGAGUCCUUCUCAAGGCCCAGACCGGACAGCUGCUCCCAGCCUUCUUCAGGCCCAAGCCCUCUAGGAAUCUGAUGAGACGUGCCUGUUCCAUAGGGAAGCGCACACCUACAGAUCUUCUCUGCAUCCGUUUGGGGGUCUUAGAACCCCUGAAACCCAUCCAUGGACUCCCAGCCAAUGGGCCCCCAGGUCGGUUAGCUGAACUAGGAGGGCCUACAAUGGACUCACCUAGGGGAAAGGUGUUAAGAGAAUUCACGUUGACCAGAGGCCUGGAAUGCAUGCGUGAUGGACACGUGUCAUCACUGACUGCCCAGCAUUUGACCUACCUUCCAAGGAUGAGAUACUUUCUACUUUCAAGGCAUCGGGGAUUUGAUAUGAUAUCUUGCAGUUUGGAAAUCUAUGGACAAAUGGGUAAGUACAUAAAACAUUACAAUAAUAGACAGUGUUCUUGAGCAUUGAAUACUGUUCAGCCAUGAAAAUGGAAAAGAAAUCACAGACUCAAUGCUGGCUUAAUCUUUAAAAAAAAAAAAAAAAAGGGCUCUUGUAUUUUUUUUUUUAUUUUUAAAUGUUAGGUUGAUUUAUAAGAGCAGCUCCAGGCAGUUAACACAGUUUGUGUACAAUGAGGAGUUAUCUAACUCUGAACACACCGAAUGUGGCAACCAGAAGUCUGGCAAUUAAAAGUCGUCGCAGUUAAGAGAAAACCACAGCCCACCUGCCGCAGCCAACACAAAAACAGGCAGAAACAGCAGUGAAAAUAUAGGGACCAACGGUGGGGGUUUUAGCAUAAAAGGAAAAAAAAAAAAAAAACCAACUCCUCAGGAAUUUUAGCAAAGGAAGGGAGUACUUCAUGCUCAAAGAGAAUAGACUCCAGGAUACAAAAUUACAAGUGUGUGGCCUCUCUUCAAGACCCACUUCCCCCAAGAGCAGAGAGGAAGGAGACGGCUGGAGCAAACAAGCCAUUCUGGAAAACAAAGACUUAGAAACCCUACAAAUAUGAUUAAAAUCUAAACUUCUGUUUUGCUUUAAAAACAUUUUUUUUUAAUAUAGCAAAAGACCUGCUUUAGGGACAUGCUGGUGCCACCGGAAAAUAACCCCAAUACCCCCUCGUCAGUAACAUGCUCAAGUGACCAGCCAACUCAGAUUUCCAAACCCCUGUGUGUAUAAGUACAUGUGUAUCUUUUUAAACCAAAGCCCCAGGGAUCAGGGGACAGCUCUUGCUGUCACCUGUUAACCAGCCAGUGUUGCCCCCCUCCCCUCCAAGAAGGGUGGGCUGAGCACAGAGAAGCCCUGAAGCGGUCGUGAGGGAAGAACAGCCCCAAAUAGCUAACUUUUCAUGCACCCCACCGCCACCCCACUUGGCAGGACAUCCUUUUUUAUUUUUUUUAUGGCCACACCCAUGGCAUAUGGAAGUUCCCCGGGCCGGGACUGAAUCCCAAGCCACAGUUGCAGCAA
rnacentral:lncRNA from 1 species